GGAAAGAUGGUCGAGUUGGUUUAAGGCACUCGCUUGGAAAGCGAGCGAAGGGUAACACCUUCCGCAGGUUCAAAUCCUGUUCUUUCCGCCA
rnacentral:tRNA from 1 species